UUCUCCGGUUUCUCGGUCCAAAAACGCUCUUUGCUGUCAACGAAAAGUCGCUGUCUCGUUUCACAGUGAGUUCCUAACGUACGCGGCGCGAAGCGAACGGUGAACAGGUCCUGCAACGAUUCGCACGAUGCGCGCCGUCGAAUGUCUCUACGGUACGGACCAAUCGCGCGAACCGAUAGACGGCCUAAUAAAGUAUCAACGAGCCCCGCGGCUUGCCCCUCGUUUCGUUCCUCCGUGCGAAAGUUUUCGAGCAACGAUCGGUCGUACGAAACCGAAACGAAGAUUCCACAGGUCUAACGAUACGUUUUAAGAUAGCCAUUUACAGGAGGGAGAGAAAUCGAGCAGGGUAACGCGUCCUCGCUGCGAGUCUGGCGCCGCGUUUUACGUCUCCCCCCGUGCAGCGAAUAUUUUCUAGCUAUUAUCGACGAAGCUCGAUCGAUGUACAAACGCAGGGCGCGUGUUACGCGCGGCUCGCGCGACGCAUGUAGAUAUACGAAUACGAAAAGCGUUGCCAUUCCGCUCCGCUUUUGCGAAACGAUCGAACGAGCGACGGGUAAUCGCGCUAUAGACUGAAAGCGAAAUUGCCGGAAAUUGCUCUAGAUGUUAAAUAACGCGACGACGAAGCUCGAAGAAAGGAGGAUUCUUGCCUUCGCGUUACCUAUAUCAUAAGUAUAUCGUUUAUACGCGAUUUGUAUAGGUACCUGUCGAUCAAAGGGAAGAGGGAACGAGUAACGAAGCAGGAACAUGUGCCAAUAACGCGAAAACAGCGAGAGCCAGAGAGAGAGAGUGAAAGUGUGUGUGUGUGUGGAGAGAGAGAGAGUGCGUGAACGAGGGAAAAUGUUUUGCGCGAAAGGGGAAAGAAAUGGCGCACGCUCGUCGAUUAAUCGCGUAAUCGUCGAUUGCGAGGAAAAAUGGUCCCUAUAUUAUUAAAUAUAUUAUUAAAAGAGAAAUAGAUUAUACGGUGCGUAAUGCGGGACAGAUUCGUUGGGAACGAUCGUGAAAGCGUGCAACGAGUAGCCGAAAGGAAAGAAACCGCGAGACGCGUCCCUCGACACCGUGAACAUAUCAAGCAGUUUAAAAGAAAGAUUUAAAGAAGGACGAUGAAAGCGCGAGAAGGAGCGUGGCGGGUAAAUUUUUCGAAGCAACGACGAGCGAAAGAUGUUCGGCGCGAGGUCGAUGCGGAAAAGUUUUCGCGACGACGCCGACGCGAAAACGGACACGCGGAUUUACCUUUGUACGAGCGGUUUCGAAUUGUUUCGCAUCGCAGACGCAACGUCCGUGCCGCAGCGUGCGCGCGUAGCGACAACAUCCGAUGAAUAAUAGCGACGAUGGAUGGUGGUCUGUAUCUUGUUGGAUGCACGUUCGCUGAUCGUAAAGACUGCUUGCCUGGCAGACGCCCGUUGAAACCGGCGAACGCUCGCGCGACCAAGUCGGCCGAGCCACGGGAAAUUUGUAUUCUUAAUUUAACGAAUUACGCUAGAGAUAUAUAGUUGGGAAAAGGGAGCCGAUGGACGCCACGAUGGACGAAAUUGCUGGCGCGCGAAAGAACGCGGAAUAACUGGAUUCGUUGGUUCGGCUGGAUCCAUCGGUGCGCGUCGCGCCUCUCCGUUAGGAGAUCGUUACGCGAGGUGGUUCCGUUUGCACUGGAAAAAUGCGAAGGGAGAUGCUGGAGGGUCCGGUUCGGUCCGCGUCGUUUCGCGUUGAAGGGCGAAAGGUCGCGUGGCGAACGCGCACCCUCCAUUUAGGAGAGAAAGAGAACGAGAAGCUACUGAGAAUGGCGACGAUUAAGAAGCAAUAAGCGAAUACACGCAAAUGCAGAUUUUUAUAUAGAGAAUGUUAACAAAUUUCAGAAAAUAUUAAUUAUCGAUAGCGCUAUCUUCCUAAAUGUUCGUAUUAAAAGUUAAACGAGAAGCAAAAGGUAAAGCGUGAGACUUUAAGGACAAAGUCGGGUGGAGUCCCAACCGAAUCGCGCGAUAUCGCCACAGAGACGGAGGAGAAACGAUACGAGAAACGACGAUACGACGUCGCAGCGUGGCGUUCGGACGAAUUUUUAGAAAUACGAAAAACGGAUCGAACGAGAGGGAAAUUUCGGCCGGGACUCCGCCAGAGGAGAAAAAAAAGAGAGAAAGAAGAUUUUAAAAACUUUCAGCUGUAACUAUUUGUGUCUAGCGACGAACCUGCGAGUGCGACCUGAAGUUUUGAGAAUGUCGAUAGUUUCAGUGAAUUAAUAUUUAGAUUUCAUAGAUCUCUGUCGAUAUUACACGAUCGUAGGCACGAAACGAGCAGAAGAUAAUUAGUUAGAGCGUAAAAGAUAUCUUAUUAGAGACCUUUUCCAUUUCACUUGAGUCUUUCGCGUUCGAACCUGCCUACAGCCUGUCUCUGUUUCUCGAGUCUUUUCGAUCGCAUUUCCUCCUCCUCUUCUUCUUCUUCUUCUUCUUCUUCUUCUUCUUCUUCUAUUUCUACUUCUACUUCUACUUCUCCGAGAACCACGUCAUUUGCGUACUUUGAUUCCCUGUAUUUUCCACUCUCCGAUUCUAAUACGCAGGGCGCUUCUUAUUUUGUAAGAGACGAGAAUUCAAGGUGCGAAAACGUCGAGAGAAGGAAAAGCGAUAGGAAAAAUAAUUGCGUAAUCCGAAUCAAAAUUUACUUCGAUUCACGCGAACGACGCUUCAAUUGCGUUUCCUCUCCUAUCGUUUUCCUUUAUAUUCGCCUUCUUUCCUUUAUUUUUAGUUACGAUUGUAUCGAUACUUUUUCUUUUUUUUUUUUUUUUUCUUUUUCUUUUAAGUAAUCGUUACUCUUUCUAACGAGGAAACGCAGCGACGAGCAAACGAAUGAGAAAUCGUUGAACACAUCCUCCUCGGACGCUCCUUUACUUAAAUACUUUUACUCGAUUAACGCUUCUGUACUACUAUUUAUUAAAAACAAAGAAAGCCUUAUUUAUUGUUUAGAGAUCAGACUAAAUUAAAAAAAAAAAAAAAAAGAAAGGACGUUCUAACCGUGGUAGGUUAUCUAUUUACCUUACUAGAAUCGUACGAAAGGGGACGGAAGAAAGAUAAGAGAAGAAAAAAAGAUCAUUAUUUCCUUACUUCGCUGUUUUCGAAAAACUCUGACCGCCGUAUAAAAAGAGACGAAAGGAUAAAAGAAAAAAAAAAGCGAGAUACAGCAUCAUGGAUACGAUCGUCGAGUCUCUAAGCAGUUAUGUUAUCGAUUAGUUAAGCGUUUUUUAAGCGAUCUACGUGCACAUUGUUCGAUUCUCUUUUCGAUUCGUUUCCCAACUUUUUUUUCUUUUUUCUUUUGCCUUUUUAACAGUCUGUUUAACAGCGAACUUUGUCAAAGUACCUGCUUCGGAAACGAAAAGCAAACAAAAAAAAAAAAA